rnacentral:rRNA from 1 species
UACGGAGGGUGCAAGCGUUAUCCGGAUUUACUGGGUUUAAAGGGUGUGUAGGCGGGUCUUUAAGUCAGUGGUGAAAUCUCCGAGCUCAACUUGGAAACUGCCAUUGAUACUAUUGAUCUUGAAUUUUGUUGAGGUAGGCGGAAUAAGUCAUGUAGCGGUGAAAUGCAUAGAUAUGACUUAGAACACCAAUUGCGAAGGCAGCUUGCUAAACAAAUAAUUGACGCUGAGGCACGAAAGCGUGGGGAUCAAACAGG